rnacentral:rRNA from 1 species
UGGGGAAUAUUGCACAAUGGGCGCAAGCCUGAUGCAGCAACGCCGCGUGUGUGAAGAAGGCGUUCGGUUUGUAAAGCACUUUCAGCGGGGAGGAAGGCGAUAAUGUUAAUAACCUCAUCGAUUGACGUUACCCGCAGAAGAAGCACCGGCUAACUCCGUGCCAGCAGCCGCGGUAAUACGGAGGGUGCAAGCGUUAGUCGGAAUUACUGGGCGUAAAGCGCACGCAGGCGGUCUGUCAAGUCGGAUGUGAAAUCCCCGGGCUCAACCGGGGAACUGCAUUCGAAACUGGCAGGCUAGAGUGCUGUAGAGGGAGGUAGAAUUCCGGGUGUAGCGGUGAAAUGCGUAGAGAUCUGGAGGAAUACCGGUGGCGAAAGCGGCCCCUUGGACAGAGACUGACGCUCAGGUGCGAAAGCGUGGGGAGCAAACAGG